rnacentral:rRNA from 1 species
CCCUUAGAUGUUCUGGGCCGCACGCGCGCUACACUGAUGCAUUCAACGAGUCUAAAACCUGCUCUGAUAGGGGUGGGUAAUCUUUUGAAUGUGCAUCGUGAUUGGGAUAGAUGAUUGCAAUUUUUCAUCUUCAACGAGGAAUGCCUAGUAAACGCAAGUCAUCAGCUUGCGUCGAUUACGUCCCUGCCCUUUGUACACACCGCCCGUCGCUCCUACCGAUUGGGUGUGCUGGUGAAAUGUUCGGAUCGGCCGUUUGUCGCGGUUUCCGCGGCUCGUGGCUGAGAAGUUCAUUAAACCCUCCCACCUAGAGGAAGGAGAAGUCGUAACA